GAUGAACGCUGGCGGCGUGCCUAAUACAUGCAAGUCGAGCGAACUGAUUAGAAGCUUGCUUCUAUGACGUUAGCGGCGGACGGGUGAGUAACACGUGGGCAACCUGCCUGUAAGACUGGGAUAACUUCGGGAAACCGAAGCUAAUACCGGAUAGGAUCUUCUCCUUCAUGGGAGAUGAUUGAAAGAUGGUUUCGGCUAUCACUUACAGAUGGGCCCGCGGUGCAUUAGCUAGUUGGUGAGGUAACGGCUCACCAAGGCAACGAUGCAUAGCGGGCCUGGGAGGGUGAUCGGCCACACUGGGACUGAGACACGGCCCAGACUCCUACGGGAGGCAGCAGUAGGGAAUCAUCCGCAAUGGACGAAAGUCUGACGGAGCAACGCCGCGUGAGUGAUGAAGGCUUUCGGGUCGUAAAACUCUGUUGUUAGGGAAGAACAAGUACGAGAGUAACUGCUCGUACCUUGACGGUACCUAACCAGAAAGCCACGGCUAACUACGUGCCAGCAGCCGCCGUAA
rnacentral:rRNA from 1 species